CCUACGGGUGGCUGCAGUGGGGAAUAUUGGGCAAUGGGCGCAAGCCUGACCCAGCAACGCCGCGUGAAGGAAGAAGGCCCUCGGGUUGUAAACUUCUUUUCUCAGGGACGAAGAAAGUGACGGUACCUCAGGAAUAAGCCACGGCUAACUACGUGCCAGCAGCCGCGGUAAUACGUAGGUGGCAAGCGUUAUCCGGAUUUAUUGGGUGUAAAGGGCGUGUAGGCGGGAGCGCAAGUCAGAUGUGAAAACUCAGGGCUCAACCCUGAGCCUGCAUUUGAAACUGUGUUUCUUGAGUGCUGGAGAGGCAAUCGGAAUUCCGUGUGUAGCGGUGAAAUGCGUAGAUAUACGGAGGAACACCAGUGGCGAAGGCGGAUUGCUGGACAGUAACUGACGCUGAGGCGCGAAAGCGUGGGGAGCAAACAGGAUUAGAUACCCCAGUAGUC
rnacentral:rRNA from 1 species